AUUGAACGCUGGCGGCAGGCCUAACACAUGCAAGUCGAGCGAGCGGCGGACGGGUGAGUAAUGUCUGGGAAACUGCCUGAUGGAGGGGGAUAACUACUGGAAACGGUAGCUAAUACCGCAUACCAUCAGAUGUGCCCAGGUGGGAGUAGCUAGUAGGUGGGGUAACGGCUCACCUAGGCGACGAUCCCUAGCUGGUCGGAGAGGAUGACCAGCCACACUGGAACUGAUACACGGUCCAUACUCCUACGGGGGGCAGCAUUGGGGAAUAUUGCACAAUGGGCGCAAGCCUGAUGCAGCCAGGCCGCGUGUGUGAAGAAGGCCUUCGGGUUGUAAAGCACUUUCAGCGGGGAGGCGUUACCCGCAGAAGAAGCACCGGCUAACUCCGUGCCAGCCGCCGCGGUAAUAU
rnacentral:rRNA from 1 species